AUUGAACGCUGGCGGCAUGCCUUACACAUGCAAGUCGAACGGUAACGCGGGGCAACCUGGCGACGAGUGGCGAACGGGUGAGUAAUGUAUCGGAACGUGCCCAGUUGUGGGGGAUAACUGCUCGAAAGAGCAGCUAAUACCGCAUACGACCUGAGGGUGAAAGCGGGGGAUCGCAAGACCUCGCGCAAUUGGAGCGGCCGAUAUCAGAUUAGGUAGUUGGUGAGGUAAAGGCUCACCAAGCCGACGAUCUGUAGCUGGUCUGAGAGGACGACCAGCCACACUGGGACUGAGACACGGCCCAGACUCCUACGGGAGGCAGCAGUGGGGAAUUUUGGACGAUGGACGCAAGUCUGAUCCAGCCAUGCCGCGUGCGGGAAGAAGGCCUUCGGGUUGUAAACCGCUUUUGUCAGGGAAGAAACGCUCUGGGUUAAUACCUCGGGGUAAUGACGGUACCUGAAGAAUAAGCACCGGCUAACUACGUGCCAGCAGCCGCAGUAACAC
rnacentral:rRNA from 1 species